rnacentral:rRNA from 2 species
GAGGCCGAAAGGCGUAGUCGAUGGGAAACGGGUUAAUAUUCCCGUACUUGGUGUUACUGCGAAGGGGGGACGGAGAAGGCUAUGUUGGCCGGGCGACGGUUGUCCCGGUUUAAGCGUGUAGGUGUGUGUUCCAGGUAAAUCCGGUUCACUUUAACACUGAGGCGUGAUGACGAGGCACUACGGUGCUGAAGCAACAAAUGCCCUGCUUCCAGGAAAAGCCUCUAAGCAUCAGGUAACAUCAAAUCGUACCCCAAACCGACACAGGUGGUCAGGUAGAGAAUACCAAGGCGCUUGAGAGAACUCGGGUGAAGGAACUAGGCAAAAUGGUGCCGUAACUUCGGGAGAAGGCACGCUGACACGUAGGUGAAGUGAUUUACUCAUGGAGCUGAAGUCAGUCGAAGAUACCAGCUGGCUGCAACUGUUUAUUAAAAACACAGCACUGUGCAAACACGAAAGUGGACGUAUACGGUGUGACGCCUGCCCGGUGCCGGAAGGUUAAUUGAUGGGGUCAGCGCAAGCGAAGCUCCUGAUCGAAGCCCCGGUAAACGGCGGCCGUAACUAUAACGGUCCUAAGGUAGCGAAAUUCCUUGUCGGGUAAGUUCCGACCUGCACGAAUGGCGUAAUGAUGGCCAGGCUGUCUCCACCCGAGACUCAGUGAAAUUGAACUCGCUGUGAAGAUGCAGUGUACCCGCGGCAAGACGGAAAGACCCCGUGAACCUUUACUAUAGCUUGACACUGAACAUUGAGCCUUGAUGUGUAGGAUAGGUGGGAGGCUUUGAAGUGUGGACGCCAGUCUGCAUGGAGCCGGCCUUGAAAUACCACCCUUUAAUGUUUGAUGUUCUAACGUGGACCCGUGAUCCGGGUUGCGGACAGUGUCUGGUGGGUAGUUUGACUGGGGCGGUCUCCUCCUAAAGAGUAACGGAGGAGCACGAAGGUUGGCUAAUCCUGGUCGGACAUCAGGAGGUUAGUGCAAUGGCAUAAGCCAGCUUGACUGCGAGCGUGACGGCGCGAGCAGGUGCGAAAGCAGGUCAUAGUGAUCCGGUGGUUCUGAAUGGAAGGGCCAUCGCUCAACGGAUAAAAGGUACUCCGGGGAUAACAGGCUGAUACCGCCCAAGAGUUCAUAUCGACGGCGGUGUUUGGCACCUCGAUGUCGGCUCAUCACAUCCUGGGGCUGAAGUAGGUCCCAAGGGUAUGGCUGUUCGCCAUUUAAAGUGGUACGCGAGCUGGGUUUAGAACGUCGUGAGACAGUUCGGUCCCUAUCUGCCGUGGGCGCUGGAGAACUGAGGGGGGCUGCUCCUAGUACGAGAGGACCGGAGUGGACGCAUCACUGGUGUUCGGGUUGUCAUGCCAAUGGCACUGCCCGGUAGCUAAAUGCGGAAGAGAUAAGUGCUGAAAGCAUCUAAGCACGAAACUUGCCCCGAGAUGAGUUCUCCCUGAGACUUUAGGUCUCCUGAAGGAACGUUGAAGACGACGACGUUGAUAGGCCGGGUGUGUAAGCGCAGCGAUGCGUUGAGCUAACCGGUACUAAUGAACCGUGAGGCUUAACCUUACA